GAUGAAGAACGCAGCGAAAUGCGAUAAGUAAUGUGAAUUGCAGAAUUCAGUGAAUCAUCGAAUCUUUGAACGCACAUUGCGCCCGCCAGUAUUCUGGCGGGCAUGCCUGUUCGAGCGUCAUUACAACCCUCAGGCCCCCGGGCCUGGCGUUGGGGAUCGGCGGAAGCCCCCUGCGGGCACAACGCCGUCCCCAAAUACAGUGGCGGUCCCGCCGCAGCUUCCAUUGCGUAGUAGCUAACACCUCGCAACUGGAGAGCGGCGCGGCCACGCCGUAAAACACCCAACUUCUGAAUGUUGACCUCGAAUCAGGUAGGAAUACCCGCUGAACUUAAGCAUAUCAAUAAGCGGAGGA
rnacentral:misc_RNA from 1 species